rnacentral:tRNA from 1 species
AAAAAAUUAGUUAAAUUAUAACAUUAGAAUGUCAAACUAAAAUUAUUAUAAAAAUAAUAUUUUUUU